rnacentral:rRNA from 1 species
UAAAGCGUGGAGCUUAACUCCAUAUCGGCGGUGGAAACUGAUGAACUAGAGGGUGGUAGGGGUCACGGGAAUUCCCAGUGUAGCGGUGAAAUGCGUAGAUAUUGGGAAGAACACCAGCGGCGAAAGCGCGUGACUGGGCCAUUACUGACACUCAUGGACGAAAGCUAGGGGAGCGAAAGGGAUUAGAUACCCCUGUAUUCCUAGCCGUAAACGAUGGACACUAGGUGUUGCCCGAUCGACCCGGGCAGUGCCGUAGCUAACGCGUUAAGUGUCCCGCCUGGGGAGUACGCACGCAAGUGUGAAACUCAAAGGAAUUGACGGGGGCCCGCACAAGCGGUGGAGUAUGUGGUUUAAUUCGAUGCAACGCGAAGAACCUUACCAGGGCUUGACAUGUCGCGAAUCCCCUUGAAAGGGGGGAGUGCCUUCGGGAGCGCGAGCACAGGUGGUGCAUGGCUGUCGUCAGCUCGUGUCGUGAGAUGUUGGGUUAAGUCCCGCAACGAGCGCAACCCACGUUUCUAGUUGCCAGCAUUCAGUUGGGCACUUUAGAGAGACUGCCGGU